rnacentral:rRNA from 1 species
CCCCUAGAUGUUCUGGGCCGCACGCGCGCUACAAUGAGAGGUUCAACGAGAGAUCUGCUUUGAAAAGAGUGGAGGAAUAGAAAAGCCUUUUGUGAUUGGGAUAGAAUAUUGGAAUUUUUAUUCUUGAACGAGGAAUGCCUAGUAAAUGCAAUUCAUAAAAUUGCGUUGAUUACGUCAAUGCCCUUUGUACACACCGCCCAUCGCUCCUACCGAUUGAAUGGUCCGGUGAAAUCUCGGGACGGCGGCUUGGUCGCUUGCGUCCGACUGCUGAAACUUGAUUAAACCAUAUCAUUUAGAGGAAGGUGAAGUCGUANCA